GCGAAAUGCGAUACUUGGUGUG
rnacentral:siRNA from 1 species